rnacentral:rRNA from 1 species
AAUGAACGUUGGCGGCGUGGAUUAGGCAUGCAAGUCGCGCGAGAAGUUCCCUUCGGGGAACGGAAAGCGGCGAAAGGGACAGUAACACGUGGAUUAUCUACCCCCGGGACCGGGAUAGCGGCGGGAAACUGCCGGUAAUACCGGAUAACGUCUCCGGACCAAAUGGUGUGAUUCCGCCAGGGGAUGAGUCCGCGUCCUAUUAGCUAGUUGGUGGGGUAAUGGCCUACCAAGGCGGAGAUGGGUAGCGGGUGUGAGAGCACGACCCGCGUCACUGGGACUGAGACACUGCCCAGACACCUACGGGUGGCUGCAGUCGAGAAUCUUCGGCAAUGGGCGCAAGCCUGACCGAGCGACGCCGCGUGCGGGAUGAAGGCCUUCGGGUUGUAAACCGCUGUCAGAGAGGCGGAAAUGUAUGGGGGUUCUCCCCCAUAUUUGACCUAAUCUCAGAGGAAGUACGGGCUAAGUACGUGCCAGCCGCCGCUGUAAAAC